rnacentral:rRNA from 1 species
UGGAGAGUUUGAUCCUGGCUCAGGACGAACGCUGGCGGCGUGCUUAACACAUGCAAGUCGAACGGAAAGCCCCUUCGGGGUACUCGAGUGGCGAACGGGUGAGUAACACGUGGGUGAUCUGCCCUGCACUUUGGGAUAAGCCUGGGAAACUGGGUCUAAUACCGAAUAGGACCGCGCUCUUCAUGGGGUGUGGUGGAAAGCUUUUGCGGUGUGGGAUGGGCCCGCGGCCUAUCAGCUUGUUGGUGGGGUAAUGGCCUACCAAGGCGACGACGGGUAGCCGGCCUGAGAGGGUGACCGGCCACACUGGGACUGAGAUACGGCCCAGACUCCUACGGGAGGCAGCAGUGGGGAAUAUUGCACAAUGGGCGCAAGCCUGAUGCAGCGACGCCGCGUGAGGGGAUGACGGCCUUCGGGUUGUAAACCUCUUUCAAUAGGGACGAAGCGCAAGUGACGGUACCUAUAGAAGAAGGACCGGCCAACUACGUGCCAGCAGCCGCGGUA